rnacentral:rRNA from 1 species
GGGCCCGCACAAGCGGAGGAACAUGUGGUUUAAUUCGAUGAUACGCGAGGAACCUUACCCGGGCUUGAAAUGUACCUGACGAGGCUCAGAGACGAGCCUUUCCUUCGGGCAGGUAUGUAGGUGCUGCAUGGUUGUCGUCAGCUCGUGCCGUGAGGUGUCGGCUCAAGUGCCAUAACGAGCGCAACCCCUUCCGCUGGUUACCAUCGGGUGAUGCCGGGGACUCCAGCGGCACUGCCGCCGCAAGGCGCGAGGAAGGCGGGGAUGACGUCAAAUCAGCACGGCCCUUACGUCCGGGGCCACACACGUGUUACAAUGGGGGGCACAGCAGGCAGGACGCGGGCGACCGCGUUCGAAUCAUGAAAUCCCCUCCCAGUUCGGACUGGAGUCUGCAACCCGACUCCACGAAGCUGGAUUCGCUAGUAAUCGCGCAUCAGCCAUGGCGCGGUGAAUACGUUCCCGGGCCUU